rnacentral:tRNA from 1 species
GCGCUAGUGGCGGAAUUGGUAGACGCACUGGUUUUAGGUACCAGCGGGUAACCGUGGGGGUUCGAGUCCCUCCUGGCGCACCA